CAGCAGCCGCGGUAAUACGUAGGUGGCAAGCGUCGUCCGGAAUUAUUGGGCGUAAAGCGCGCGCAGGUGGUUUAAUAAGUCUGAUGUGAAAGCCCACGGCUCAACCGUGGAGGGUCAUUGAAAACUGUUAAACUUGAGUGCAGGAGAGAAAAGUGGAAUUCCUAGUGUAGCGGUGAAAUGCGUAGAGAUUAGGAGGAACACCAGUGGCGAAGGCGGCUUUUUGGCCUGUAACUGACACUGAGGCGCGAAAGCGUGGGGAGCAAACAGGAUUAGAUACCCCCGUAGUCCCUGUCUCUUAUAA
rnacentral:rRNA from 1 species